GUGUUUUGAAAAAAGAUUUUAUUUUAUUCAUUUCGUAAGUUAAUAGAAAUAGAUAAUUUCUGUAAUGCAUUUUCUCAGCAUGCCAGUAAACGGAUAAAUUUCUAUCUCUGUUCUGCAUUUUUCACUUCUGAACAUCGCUCGUGCUCGGCUGUUCCGUUCAAAUAGUUUUCAAGUUCUUCUUGUCGCUCCCAUCCGCAGGAUUCGCCCAUCAAGCAAGAAAGACUCCAAUCCACUUGAUGGAAUCAUUGGUAAUUGCACAUUUCUAUUGCGAGCAAAAGUAUUGAUUUUCAUAUCAUUGCACUAAGUUCAUUUUUGGAGAUUGAUGAGAAUCUUCGCUGCUUGAAGGGGCGGAUCACCCGGAGGGCGGACCUCGAAUCAAAAAAGUUGUUGCUAUUUUAUUAGUUAAUAACUAGUGAUGAAUAGUUCUUUGAAUUCCGAUCUCUGUACUUGUGUUAGUCUGUAGUACGUGUGAGUGUGUGAGUGUGGGUGUGAGUAUGUGUGCUCAGUAACAUCUCAAUGACUUAGAAAAAUGGAAAAUAAAAUCGAACCGAUAAACCUGAUCUUAUUAUUUUGUUUUUUUUUUUUGGCGAGACUAAAUCUAUCACUGAUAGACGAAGAGCGUAAUAAACGGUGGUUUGUUAAGGGGAGGGACAUUCCGAAUCAAUAGGAAUUAUUGUAAUGUAUGUAUAACAACGGAUGGUGUAAAAUCGUGUGAGAGCAGCAAUUCAAUUGGGGACGAGAUAAUUUCCGACUCAACAACAGUAUAGUGUAUAGAAAAAUUGGCUCCUAACCUAAGACUCUACGAUAGUAUUCUUGUUUUAUCCAUUCAUUACUUAGUUUGCAUGUACAAUUAAA